rnacentral:lncRNA from 1 species
CAGAUUUGUGCUGAUCUACACUAACAUAUAACCCUAGCUAGUAUUAAGGACCCUGCUUAAUUAGGUGUUAGACUCAUUUGUAGGCCAGAAAAUUCCAACACAAAAUGGUCGUUAAAUUUAUAAGCUCGUCAAGCAUAGAGUAAUACAAGAUUGAGCAUCCAAUCCAACCCAUUUGACUAGUAGUACAACUAGAAUAAACCAUUUUCAAAGGCCUCACUUGUUACAUUACAGUUUAUUAUCUGCGCAAACUAGACCUACAAAUUAUACCUAAUCAUGCUUCAGAGCACCCGAAUCACUCAAACGGAGUAGCUGUGAGAUGCCCGGGUCGAACCCAGGAGGGCCGAGAGCAGCCACAGCCUCCCGACCACCCGCGCUAAGCGCGGUCCAACCAUUUCCAGUUUCGAGCGACCAUAGAUCAGUUAACAUUCAGGUUCAGUUAACCAGUGAUAAGCCGCAACCAG